rnacentral:rRNA from 1 species
CCUACGUGCUGCAGCAGUGGGGAAUAUUGGACAAUGGGCGAAAGCCUGAUCCAGCAAUGCCGCGUGUGUGAAGAAGGCCUUCGGGUUGUAAAGCACUUUCAGUGGGGAAGAAAGCCUUGGGGCUAAUACCCUCGAGGAAGGACAUCACCCACAGAAGAAGCACCGGCUAACUCCGUGCCAGCAGCCGCGGUAAUACGGAGGGUGCGAGCGUUAAUCGGAAUUACUGGGCGUAAAGCGCGCGUAGGCGGUCUGAUAAGCCGGUUGUGAAAGCCCCGGGCUCAACCUGGGAACGGCAUCCGGAACUGUCAGGCUAGAGUGCAGGAGAGGAAGGUAGAAUUCCCGGUGUAGCGGUGAAAUGCGUAGAGAUCGGGAGGAAUACCAGUGGCGAAGGCGGCCUUCUGGACUGACACUGACGCUGAGGUGCGAAAGCGUGGGUAGCAAACAGGAUUAGAUACCCCAGUAGUC